UACGAAGGGGGCUAGCGUUGUUCGGAUUUACUGGGCGUAAAGCGCACGUAGGCGGAUUGUUAAGUCGGGGGUGAAAUCCUGGAGCUCAACUCCAGAAUUGCCUUCGAUACUGGCUUUCUAGAGGCUGGAAGAGGUUAGUGGAAUUCCCAGUGUAGAGGUGAAAUUCGUAGAUAUUGGGAAGAACACCAGUGGCGAAGGCGGCAUCCUGGACCGGUAUUGACGCUGAGGCGCGAAAGCUAGGGGAGCAAACGGG
rnacentral:rRNA from 1 species